GAACGCUGAAGAGAGGAGCUUGCUCUUCUUGGAUGAGUUGCGAACGGGUGAGUAACGCGUAGGUAACCUGCCUUGUAGCGGGGGAUAACUAUUGGAAACGAUAGCUAAUACCGCAUAACAAUGGAUGACACAUGUCAUUUAUUUGAAAGGGGCAAUUGCUCCACUACAAGAUGGACCUGCGUUGUAUUAGCUAGUAGGUGAGGUAAUGGCUCACCUAGGCGACGAUACAUAGCCGACCUGAGAGGGUGAUCGGCCACACUGGGACUGAGACACGGCCCAGACUCCUACGGGAGGCAGCAGUAGGGAAUCUUCGGCAAUGGGGGCAACCCUGACCGAGCAACGCCGCGUGAGUGAAGAAGGUUUUCGGAUCGUAAAGCUCUGUUGUAAGUCAAGAACGGGUGUGAGAGUGGAAAGUUCACACUGUGACGGUAGCUUACCAGAAAGGGACGGCUAACUACGUGCCAGCAGCCGCGGUAAUACGUAGGUCCCGAGCGUUGUCCGGAUUUAUUGGGCGUAAAGCGAGCGCAGGCGGUUUGAUAAGUCUGAAGUUAAAGGCUGUGGCUCAACCAUAGUUCGCUUUGGAAACUGUCAAACUUGAGUGCAGAAGGGGAGAGUGGAAUUCCAUGUGUAGCGGUGAAAUGCGUAGAUAUAUGGAGGAACACCGGUGGCGAAAGCGGCUCUCUGGUCUGUAACUGACGCUGAGGCUCGAAAGCGUGGGGAGCGAACAGGAUUAGAUACCCUGGUAGUCCACGCCGUAAACGAUGAGUGCUAGGUGUUGGAUCCUUUCCGGGAUUCAGUGCCGCAGCUAACGCAUUAAGCACUCCGCCUGGGGAGUACGACCGCAAGGUUGAAACUCAAAGGAAUUGACGGGGGCCCGCACAAGCGGUGGAGCAUGUGGUUUAAUUCGAAGCAACGCGAAGAACCUUACCAGGUCUUGACAUCCCGAUGCUAUUUCUAGAGAUAGAAAGUUACUUCGGUACAUCGGUGACAGGUGGUGCAUGGUUGUCGUCAGCUCGUGUCGUGAGAUGUUGGGUUAAGUCCCGCAACGAGCGCAACCCCUAUUGUUAGUUGCCAUCAUUCAGUUGGGCACUCUAGCGAGACUGCCGGUAAUAAACCGGAGGAAGGUGGGGAUGACGUCAAAUCAUCAUGCCCCUUAUGACCUGGGCUACACACGUGCUACAAUGGUUGGUACAACGAGUUGCGAGUCGGUGACGGCGAGCUAAUCUCUUAAAGCCAAUCUCAGUUCGGAUUGUAGGCUGCAACUCGCCUACAUGAAGUCGGAAUCGCUAGUAAUCGCGGAUCAGCACGCCGCGGUGAAUACGUUCCCGGGCCUUGUACACACCGCCCGUCACACCACGAGAGUUUGUAACACCCGAAGUCGGUGAGGUAACCUUUUGGAGCCAGCCGCCUAAGGUGG
rnacentral:rRNA from 1 species